rnacentral:rRNA from 1 species
CUCCUACGGGAGGCAGCAGUGGGGAAUAUUGGGCAAUGGGCGAAAGCCUGACCCAGCAACGCCGCGUGAAGGAAGAAGGCCUUCGGGUUGUAAACUUCUUUUACCAGGGACGAACACAAUGACGGUACCUGGAGAAAAAGCAACGACUAACUACGUGCCAGCAGCCGCGGUAAUA